rnacentral:tRNA from 1 species
UGGCUCAGUGGGUAGAGCAUGGUGUUUGCAACGCCAGGGUUGUGGGUUCGAUUCCCAC